UACGGAGGAUCCGAGCGUUAUCCGGAUUUAUUGGGUUUAAAGGGAGCGUAGGUGGAAGAUUAAGUCAGCCUGUGAAAGUUUGCGGCUCAACCGUAAAAUUGCAGUUGAUACUGGUUUUCUUGAGUGCAGUAGAGGUGGGCGGAAUUCGUGGUGUAGCGGUGAAAUGCUUAGAUAUCACGAAGAACUCCGAUUGCGAAGGCAGUUCACUGGACUGUAACUGACACUGAUGCUCGAAAGUGUGGGUAUCAAACAGG
rnacentral:rRNA from 1 species